GUUGCCAAUGUGAAACAAGCCACAUUCCCACAGCAUUGUGAAUGCAUAAACGUUCUGAUCACAAAUUUGACGCGAUCUGGCAUCCGGCCUAUCGGCUCUCUUCGUCGAAGCCUUAACCCAUUAACAAUUUAGCAUCCAUGACAACUCUUGAAGCUAUCACUGCCCACAAUCUCUCUACACUGGCUAAACCCAUUCACGAUCCCAUAAAUCCAGAUCCUUUUCUCUUCUCCUCUCUACAACACCCAAGCCAUCAAAAAAUUCACUGCUUUCAACCCAAAAUAGAAGGAGAUGGGCUAUUGAAUCUGUCACGGAGGAUAGAGAAGUGGUUCCUGUGAAAUAUAGUCCUUCAAAGGACCAAGAGAACCCUUCAUGGGCUAGUGGGUCUAAAGAUUUUCAGGACCUUUCAUCUUCUUCUAUUGAAGAAACAGGAGAAGGCGAUGACGAUAAAAACUAGUUCAUGAGUAGAGCAAUUAAUGCUACUUUUGUUUUAGUUUUUGGGACUCUUUUCUGUCAGUAAGUUGCUCACUAUUGAUCAUGAUUAUUGGCACGUAAGUGAUUUUCAUUAGUUCAAGCUCUGUUAUCUCUGCUUUCAUUUGCUGGUGGUUUGCAUAAGAAAAUUUUCCUUUUCAUCUAUCUUAUAUUUGUGAUUAAUUGCUCAAUUUUUCUAAUUUUAACUGUAGAGGUUGUUAAUAUUGGAGGUUUUGUAAUCCCGUCUUGUCAAAAUCUGAUUUUGUGAGGUUGGGCUGAUUAUUAUUUUUCAGACUAGUUACGAAGUCUCGUAUAAAUUCCUUCUAAGACUACGGGAUAAACAAAUAGUGGUGAAGAAAGGAAAACAGUGGAAUUUAGGAUUAGAAUUGAUUUCAUCGAUAUUUCAAUUAGCUGUGAACAAAAUUAUUGUCUAAUUGUUGAAUGUUUUUCUUGCCCUGGACUUUUUUGAUAAUGUUAUCCAAUUUGCUGGGAUGGACCUUUUAUGAGGUACUAAGGUAUGCACCUGAACACAAUUGGAUUGCAUAUGAACAAGCUCUCAAAACAAACCCUGUUUUAGCUAAAAUGGCUAUCAGUGGAAUUGUCUACUCUAUAGGAGAUUGGAUUGCACAAGUACUUUUGAUUUUUUUCCUUUUUUCUUCUCAUUGUCUUUUUUAUCAGUGGAUUAGCAGUUUUAUCAACUUAUUUUUCAUGAUUUGUUAGUUUUAACCUUCUAAAUGUGCAGUGCUAUGAAGGAAAGCCGCAUUUUGGGUUUAACCGAACACGCAUGUUUAGAUCAGGCCUUGUUGGGUUUACUCUUCAUGGAUCCCUUUCUAAUUAUUGCUACCAAUUUUGUGAGGCUCUUUUUCCUUUUGAAGAUUGGUGGUUGGUCCCUGCCGAAGUUGCCUUUGACCAAACAGUGUGGGCAGCAGUUUGGAAUAGCAUCUAUUUCACAGUGUUGGGUUUCUUGCGUUUGGAGUCCCCAGCCAAUAUUUUUAGUGAACUGACAGCAACAUUUUGGCCAACGUUGACUGCAGGAUGGAAGCUUUGGCCAUUUGCUCAUUUGAUUACAUAUGGUGUUAUCCUUGUUGAGCAAAGAUUUCUUUGGGUGGACCAUGUGGAACUCAUCUGGGUUGCCAUACUCUCUAGCAGUAAAUGAAUUGGAAGAUCACGACUUAAUGAGAUAGUUCUCGUAAUUGUUGUCAAUAGAUUGAUUGAACGACCAUGUUCCAUGUUCACCCUCUCUAUACGGAUGUCAACAGGUUAAAUCAGAAUCUGGAACCACUUUUACAGGAAUUUGUAUUGUUUCUAAAGCUGUGUAUGCUAUCACUGUCAGUUCAUAUUGAGAGAGCAGCAAAUAUUGAUUCAUUCUUGUAUUAAGUCAGGCUAAUGUGUGAUAGCAAGGAAGAAUGUAAAUGAAACAUUGACUUCUGAGUAAGGUCCACAGAAACCAGCAAUUUCAGUCUUGUCUGAUGACUUAGCUCUUAACUACAUAAUACAUUGAGAUAUGAGGACACCUCAAAUUCUGUAUUUCUUGAAGACGUGUGUCCAAAGAAACAAACUCCUUAGUAAAUUGCUAGAAACACAUUGCACGAAAUAUAGGACUCCUAGUCGAUGAGUCUCAUUUGUCUCUUUGGGUGAAGACAUAGAAUAUUCCUCUCAUUGGUUCAUGACAGACGAUUUAUUAAUGCACACACCAUCGGUUGAACUAUAGAAUCAAUUCUGUUGAGCCACUGAAAAAAAUAUUUAUUUUGUUAAAAUAAAAAGGGUUAAGUUCAAUUAUAUAUAUAUAUAUAUAUAUAUAUAUAUAUAUAUAUGCCAACUGGAUGACGCGAAGAGCUAGCUGGUUAGCUCCAUGGCAGAUGGGCCUAGGGUCAUGUUAUUUGCUUGUGUAAAUGUGAGCCUGCAACGUCUACUGGUGAGAAAACGCGUGGGAUACAACCGACCCUUUUAACGAAUCGAUUCAGAAGGAAGCCCAGAUCUCCAAGAUCUGAUCUUGGAACCCUAGAGAUCCCUGACAAACCACCAAUUUUGACGCAAUGGCCAAACUUGAACCGCUAGCCGAUGAACCGAAGCAGCCCAAUAUCAACAAUAAGAAGAAGAAAAGAAAUCAUGGGUCAACCAAUUUCUUCGUUUUUGUGGAUUAUUUAUUCCUCUUUAUCUUCCUUGGAUUCCUCUGCUUCAUUCUUUUCAAGAUGGUUGGCGUCUGAUUUUUAUCCCAUCACUCUCAUUCUUACAUUCCUUUUUAUCAGGAUAUGUUUUUUUUAUGAAACAUCCAGAUCUUCAGUUGGAAAUUUCAAGUUCCUACUCCAGAGCAUUUGCAGGUGUUGGCUUUGUUAGAUUCUUGACACUAUCUUUCUUCAUGGUGAGAAAAUAUAUAUGUUUUUUUAGUCAGAACUCAAAAGCAUUUCUGUAUUCUCUCUGUUAUCAGACAUACCUUUUACAUGUAUGUCAUCACAUGUAGAACCUCCAUUGCAAUUUGGGAUGUUGUGUAACGGUUGAUCUUCCAUUUCAUUAUUGGUUUACCUCGAGAACAAUAAACUAAAAUUUGUAAGUAAAAUCCUUGUGACCUCUCACUACUAGCUGCUUAGGCUUCCCGUGAAGAACCCAGUUAACUUAUGGACAACUGCAGCAUUGAAUGUCAUUCCUAUGUGUUCGCUGGAGCAUUUUCAGCUAUCAAUUUCGUGGAUAUUUUGUUUUGGAGAUUUAGUCUGUUAUUUAUUUAUUUAUGUUUAUGGAAAAAUAAAUGUAAAGGUACUCAUAUGUUUAGCAA